rnacentral:tRNA from 1 species
AUGUAGCUCAGGGGUAGAGCACCUGCCUGGCACUGCAAGGCCCUGGGUUCAAUUCCCAGCAU